GGGGGUUAUACCUGAAAGCCAUAAGGGGCAGGGCAUGAUCCAGAACCAGAAGAAGCGCCGCCACCUCAUUGUCGGCAUCGACGACCUUCGCAACUUCAGCCUCGACUUCGCCCGGUGGUUCUUUGGAUCUUGUGCAAACCUUGUGAAGAUACCAGAUUUUUAUAGUGUUUGGUUUUAUUGGUUGAUUUCGCUGACGGAGGUCACUGGCUACAUGGAACCGAAAUACCUGAAGGAAGGGGAGCGUGUGCUUGCUGGCUUCAGCAGAUCUUUUGGGUUCCACAAAGUCACUCCUAGGGAUCUUAUGUCCUCCUUCAUUGGUUCCAUGGUCUGCGUUGAGGGCAUUGUCACCAAAUGUUGUGCGUAAUUGCAGGAAAGAUUUCUCCAAUUGAUGUAACAACACAUCCCUAUGACGUGUUCCUUCUCUUCUCUCCUCCUUUCUAGGAUCCUGCAACUGCUGGGGCAACUAAGAGGCCUACCUGCUGUGAGUUAACACUAUUCAAGCCAACCAAAGGAGAGCUGGAGUUGGAGGUGAAGGCAAAGUUGCAAGUAGAUUACAACCAAGUGGUACCAGGCGUUGCUGACCUGACGGCCUCCCAUUCUGAAGAGCUGAGUAAAAACAAGAGCCAGUUUCACAUGAUGUGUUUGCCCAUCUUGCAGUUGCUAUUGGCUUCACCUUCCCCUGACAUGUCAAUCUCAGCCAGCGCGAAACCUGUAUUGCGUUCCUUCUGCAUGGGGACAUUAAGAUGGGGUGUAUGUUUUGUUACUAUCAUCCCUUGGACUAUAAGUUAGUGCAUGCCGGCUUUUUUCAUACCUCGGUUUAGCCACUGUGAUUUUGGCUGGCCACUGCACGGACGAAUUAUGGCUGUGUUCUUGUUGUCAUCUCACAUUGGUGUAAGAAAAUAUAAAACAUAUAAUUAAAUCUAUCUUAUCCUAUUAGUUUAAGCUUUUAGGACAAAUGGUGAUUUUAACAUAGUAUUAAAGCAGAGGUACUGAGUUCGAACCUCGGUGAGUGGCCUUUUCCUACAUGAAGGCUUGGUUA